AAGAACGAUACAAAGAAGGAACAGGAGAAGACUGGUUCAAGAUCUCUCACAUCCCUACCAUAGAAAAUUGGUAUUGAAUGGGUCAAAGGGAAGCAAUAAACAUCAACCCACUAGCCACAGGCUUGGAAAAAAUUGACCCAAAUCUGGUAUUCACAGAUGCAAUGACUUUUCCGGUGCUACUCAUGUCUGAUAUUAGAAACCAGAGGCACAAAUUUAUUAGUCCAAGAGGCUUAAAAGACGGGACAGCACACAAUGUGGGCAGCUGGAGAACAGAAGAAGAUUUACAAUAAUUUUUUCCAUUUCUAUUACCUCUUAAAGCUCUGGUUCGAAUUUCUUCUAUAGCUCUCUGUUUCAAUGAGGUCAUUUACUGAAUAUAUGUGUCACUAUUUCUACAACGGUCAUGAAAAUGACUAUUUAAAUGAU